GGCAGAAUGGCCGAGCGGUCUAAGGCGCUAGAUCCAGGUGGUAUUGCAUCAUUCUAGUCUUCGGGCGUGGGUUCGAAUCCCACUUCUGUCA